CCGUAGCCCAAGAGAUCGGGAUAACACCUGGAAACAGAUGCUAAUACCGGAUAACAACAGAUGAUGCCUAUCAACUGUUUAAAAGAUGGUUCUGCUAUCACUCUUGGAUGGACCUGCGGUGCAUUAGCUAGUUGGUAGGGUAACGGCCUGCCAAGGCGAUGAUGCAUAGCCGAGUUGAGAGACUGAUCGGCCACAUUGGGACUGAGACACGGCCCAAACUCCUACGGGAGGCAGCAGUG
rnacentral:rRNA from 1 species